UGACCGAAAAACGCAUCGUUUUUGAAGCAAACUUGACAGCGGUCAGCAUAAAGGGGCGGGGCUCCGUCCAACGUUCUUCCUACAAAAACCUAGAGUUGACAGAGGGCAGGCUGAGAGGAGAGCAGGUUCGGCGGAAUAAUUUUAAGAAGAACUUUAUCCCUGCUCCACCAUAGACUCCCGGGACAAGUGAGCGGCACUCAUGGAAGACUUCGUGUAUUUUCUGACCCUCACUCGACCUCUUAACUGUUUUAAAAGAAUGCUAGUCGCUGUCGGUGUUAUCCCGAAAUACAAAGAGCAGCAGAGCUGGCCCUCUGCCUGCCGCAGCUGUCCGCGGAGGACGUUAACACGGUGAGUUUAACUUACCUCUGCACUCAUUCCGUCCUCUAACUUCUUAUGGUGCCAAACCGCCUUCAAAAAAACAACGACCUUUGAGAUACCGGAACUCUCAGCACGUUUCCAUACACCGGAGAGUAGUCAUUUAGCUUUUCACGUCAUUAUAACAGCCAGUUCUUUAGGUCGGCUCAGCUGUAACAUCAAAAGCGCAGCUAGUUGCGAACAAAAAUAACUUUGAGAAUCGGUUCCUCUGUUUUCUCACACCUUACAUCCGCAUAAUGAGCCAAUGAGCGGAGUCAAGCGACAUGAGAAGCAGAAAAAGAUUUCACCGGAGAAGUUGCUAGAUAUCUGCAGGCCGAAUAUGCAAUAAUUUCUGUUAUAAUCUGGCCUUGUUCUCAUUGUGUACCCUGUAUGUCCUUAUAGACUGACACUAAAGUUUGUAGGGGGUCGGGUUUUCGUGUGAGGUUUGUUGAAGCAUCACUUGCCCAUCAGUCAUUACACAGUUGUUAAAGUUGUGCUUUUAGUAAUGCUGCUGUUCUUUGGAAUAAAUCCCAGGGAGUAAACAGAUUUAUUUCUCAAGAUGAAUACUAUUAAGAAAACCGCCUGUCUAGAUCUGCAUGUCAUCUCCCUAACUGAAUCUGUUUAUGACAGGAUGCAUUGCCAUUUCUGUUGGAUUAAAUUGUGCCUGCUGCUACUUAGAAAUAAGAAUAAUCAGAUUACACAGAGUGGUUAUAUUCAAAGAAGAAAACAGGGUCUUCAUUUUUACUAACUGGAAUCACAACUUCCAUGGGCUAUAGUGGUCUAUAAAUAUCUCUUAGUUCUGAACCUUUUAAAGUUCAAGUAGGCUACUCCAGAAAUACUAUGAAGCAGUGUAAUCAGGUCACACAUUAAUAGAACAAAGAGAUGCAGAGGAGGACAAAGCACUGUAAACUCCAUGCAGCAAAGGUUACAGGGCCCUUAUGGGAUGAUGUAUUAUAAGUUGUUAUGUUUUUGUUUUUGUUUUUUUCGCUCUAAUGAUCACCAACCAAGAGGUCACAGUUCAGUUGCACUGUCUCUGGUUUGACUCUUAAAAAGUAAUGUGUAAUCUGUAUCGGGUUGCGCGCUGUAUGAAAGCGAAGCUCUGGGGCCGGCCCAUUCACCCGGCUCUUUCCUCCCUUGGGAUGGAGGUCAGUUUGGUUCCCAGACAUGAGUGUGAGGAAGACAGAGGCACAGUGAGGAAGAAGUAAGUAUUAUUCCUACAGCACAGGAAUGAGCACAAAAAGACGUCUCAUUUUUCUGUUGUCACUGUCGCUACUUGGAUACGAUAGUCUGGUUUAGAUGUCUGCUUAUAUACCACCAUUCCUUUUUGUGCAAAAAGUUUUACAGAAGAAAGCAGUUUGGUGUAUUCACGUAAAAAGCUCACAUAAAUAUUUGAUAAAUGUAAGAAAAAUGUUGGUGUCAUGGUGUCCCUUUUCUUAAAAUGCCAGUACCAUGUAACAGCAGAGCCAAUAAUCUACUAGGAGCACUGGGAUGGUCAAGGGAUCAGUUUGUUAACCAGUAAGCUAAAUAGCCUGCUUUAUCUUUACCAGUGCUUUACAGUAGUUUCCAUGCUGUAUGCUGUGUUCCUGCUAUAGAUUACACAGGAAGUGCUUUAGUUAGCUGAAUGCACUCCACGUCCUUGUGUGCUCGCCUGGGUUUGUGUGUGCAAGUGUUUGUUAAGUGUGUGCAAUCUGGGUUGUUUGUGUUUAUCUAGGCCUCUCAGCUCUUUGUGUUUGAGGAGGGGUCUCCGGCCUUGCGGGGCUGACCUCAGGGUUACUAUGGAGACCGCAGGAGCCACUUCCUGAAUUCUCGGCCCAUCCCGCAAUACAUUACAGAGCAGGGGACCCAAACUCGAAGUGAGGACUGGACUGGACUGGAAACGAGGGAGGAAGGAAAACCUAAUUCUGUUUUAAUGGGAUUAUUCUAAGAAAUGGAAAGUAAUGGUGCAGAACUAAUAUGGACCUGAGCUGAAACAAGCUGAAUGCACUGCAUGCUAACAUUUGAAGACAAGUCUUAGCUUUAAAGUCUGCAUGAUCCUGCAGAGUCUCUGUAAAAGUGAAAAUUAAGAUGUCCAAAUUAAAUCAAAUCAGAUAAUUAGGUAAUCCCAUAAAUUUAGCAUCAGACUGCUUUCAGUACCAAAAACAGUUAUUAGUCUAUAAGCUGGCCUAUUAGAAGAAAGCAGGCUAAGAGGGAAGUAGCUAAAACUAUUGGGGAUAAACUGAAGUUGUAUAUUAAGGGUCAACUUAAGAUUUUUUUUCCCAGCUGUUUCAUGCUUAGCUACUGUAGUUGAGUCCAAGAAUACCUGUAUGAACAUAGCUACCGUUAUAUCAUCCAGGGAUUUCUAAAGUCCUGUUUUAAAGCCUUGAAUUGACCUUUUCUGCCAUUGCUUUCUUGGUCGUAGACAACCGGAUGUGACAAGGAGGGGUGUGCCUGACUGGGAAACCACACGCUUAUUGGUUAAUAACUUGUGGUUGCACACUUUUUGGCCAAUAAACAUGCGGUUUGAAUACUAUAGAUGGACCUUCAUUUUGUAACAUGGUGUAGCCAAGGUUUUUUAGCACUAACUAACUAAAUAAUCAACUUGCUCUAAAUAUUUAGCUUAGUGCUUUUCCAAAGUCUUCAUUCCGUAUUUAGUGGUGAAUUGAACAAAAUUCCAUUGUGGUGACUGUUAAGUUCCGUAUGGGAACCUUACGUUAAAUGCGGCGCAUGAUAGAAAUGCAAACGGAGAGUGUAACACUACAUUCACAAAGGGACAUAAUAUAUAUAAAGAUCAAAAGAAAUUGGGAUUUAUAUUAAAUCUUUUUUUUUUUUUAAGCAUUUAGAUGUUAAUUAUCGCUGCAAGUCUGAUGAUGUUUGUACAAAGUUUCAUUCAGAUUAUCCCACCUAUUGCAGAGAAGAUGGGUUCAUACAGAUACACAUGUAACUAUGGUCAUCAUAGUAAAGAAGAAGAUUAAUAUCAUAUGUCUGGUUUUUAUUAGGUUACAAUUUAUAGGGGAGAAAGUCAGCCGUAAACAGCACUAGAUAGAGAAAAGAAUACUUUCUGCUGGCAUUUUGGAGUCACUGAAGAGGGCUGGUUAAAGAAAUGGUUUAUUAGUAGCUUGCAAAGCUGAGCUCAGCUUAAUUUCAGUUCAGUAAUUAAUGCACAGACCUGAGAAGUACAAGUAAAUAAUCUUCUCUCACUUUUGGGAAUAAACGAAUAAGUAUUUCCAAAACUGCUGGAUCAUUUAAAACUGUAACAGUAAGUAUUUAUAUUUACAACUGCUAGCAUGUUGGUGUUGGUGUAUUUUAGCAAUGUAGACCAAAAAGUGUGUGAAACACCAGGGCAUAUUAUUACCAACUUUUCCAACUAAAGGUUCCUGAGAGUCUCUUUUGCUUUGCAGCCAAGGGUGUUGAGAAACAUUAACUCCUCAUUUUGGUCCUCUAGGAGUCAGCGAUGUUAAUAAUCAGAGGUUCUGGUUUCACGGGCCACCAGCUCUGUUAGUAUUCACAACCCUGAUCGGAAUAUCCACCGGUCCGUUAAACUGCUGACAGAGACUCCUACACGAGGCCAGGUCAUCAGAGAGAGAGAGAACUAAAGAGACAGAUCUGAAUGGCAAAGGAAGGGAGGGCCUUAAAAAAGGGCCGGAUUUGUGCUAUCAGAUAAAGAAUGGAAACUUGUAGAAAAACUCCAGCUACACUCAGUGCUGCUGUGAAGGUCGUGGCCAGGGGCGAGCCUGUUAAUGAAGGUGCAUUGUAGUCUGAUUCUGAGAGCACUUGUUUUACUUCAAUGCUAGUCGUUUGGGAGACGGUGUAUUUGUGUGAUGUGUUUUCAGAAACCUUUUGGCUUAACUGUGAAAAGCUUGACGCUUGAGCCAUGGAGUGAAGCCUGUAAAUGUAAAAUCCACUUAGCUGAGCAGUAACUAGCCAAGUGUAGGUGUCAACUUGAUAAUCCAGGAAUCCAGGUACUCGGUCACCAAUUGUACUUUUAUUAGGAGUCAGGAGUGUUCUUGGUGGAGGUGUGCGGGUUAGCCAAGGGAUAUAGUGGCGUGUACUGUAGAAUCUGGACUCUAAAGUGUUAUUGCACUUAUUGGUCACACCAUAUACCUUCUUAAUGCUUAUACGUUAGUAACUUGACUCAGAAGUGCAAUGAUACUGUAAGCAACCAGCAGUUACUAGUAUUUGUAUUUUGACCUUAAAACUCAUCCAUCAAUGCAAUUCACAGGCCUGCAACAUGUUUUUGGCCUGUAUCGGGAACAAUGUUUCAGCCACACUUUAGGUAGGAAUGUGCACCAUGUGAAGCUUGAUAGAAGCCAAAAUAUUGUAAGUAAAGUAAUUCUUCUGAAGCUUGAUAUUAACUUUAAGAAUAGGCAAUAAAGCAAUGAGAAAUCUGGUUCUCAGGCUUUCAGAGCCCAGAAAAGCUCCUCAGUUUACAUGAUUGUUAGUUAUUUAUUCUAAUUACCAGUGUAACUAUAAGUUAUCACACAGCAGUUCUAAUGUGGUCAUUUUAGUCAUCCGGUCCCUUAUCUGGGCAGAGUUAACUUUACAUUCAAUUGUCACCAAGACAGUGUCCAUUCAUUCAUCCAUCCACCCAUCCAUUUUAUGCUGCUUAUCUGGGUUUGGGUCACGGGGCCAGCAGUCCACACAGAUUUUUUUUAUUUUUUAAAAGAAAACUGAAUCAGCUUGCUGUGUAAGUUGUAUUUCUAUCACUGUCUUUGCUCUAGAGUUCUUCGGUAGAUUUCACAUCAGGAUUUAUUCAGUCAGUGAUAUGUAUCUGUCUUCUAAUGUUCCAGCUGGCAUCAGAUGCACCACAUUUACUAAUUUACAAAAUUGUCGAGUUCAGCGUGGGACUUUAGCUCUAAAAAUUUUACUCCUGCAUGUCAGAUGACUACUUAUAGAAAAAGAUAAUUUAUGGCACGACUAAAAAAAAAAAUUGUUGUUGUUUGUCCAGAGUAUUGUAGCAGAUUUCAGAUUUACAGAUCUGACUGAUUUGACAAAAGAGCUACAAGAAAUAGAUGACUAGCAAGACCAAAAAAACCCCAAACAAACCUCAAACCCCUAGUUUUAAUCAAUACAAUAAGUGAAGUUUCAUCUCCUCUAAAAAGUCAGCAACAAAUCUUCUAGUGUACGUUCUCUGGCAACUGAACAAAUGAGAAGCUGCUGGACUUCAAACGCUCACUUUGGCACAAUACACUGCUAAGGUCAUCUGAAGUGCGUGUCCUUGAUCUACUGUACCUUCUAAUGGUGUUUGACCUGGCUCACUGUGGCUUUCUCAUUGUGCUGGUGUAUUUGUGAUGUCAGAGAAGUGCCUCUCGAGUGCAUGAAAGAAUGUGCAGACACAGAGUUUGCUAUGCUUUAAAGGUUUCCUCUGUAGCAUUUUUAAACAUCCAUGUAUCACCUCUAAACUGCCCGUCACCUUGGAAUAUUUACUGUACACAGAUCAGGCCAUGAUAGAUGGCCUCUGCCUUAGAACACUGAUGUUUUUAGUGCUGGAAGUCUUGCAAAUUCUAGAAUCUAUUUUUCUUCAUUCUGCUCAUCCCUGUUAUGUACUUUUAGUCAAAAGUAUUUUGCUGUAUAUAAUUUAAUUAUACUUCCUUUGCUAAUAUGGCUGAGGACAGGUUCCUGACCUCCUGUUACCUGUCUUCAUAUGGAGUAGUCUGGUAGCCCUUGCUCCACCUUCAUCCUUAUCUUACUGUUUCGACUGCCAAAUAUCAUUUAACCCUUUAAAAUAAAGUGAUAAAAUAAUUUACUGCCAUACUCUCUCAUUCAAAUUGUACGCUUCUCUAUACCCAAACCCUCGGUGUAAAUUCUAGUUUUGAAACCACUAAACUAUUCAAAGGUGUGGCAGUGUCCAUUUUGUUUCCAGCUUUUCCAAACAAUAAAACUGCAAAAGAGCUUAGUUUUUCAAAGGCCUUUUCUUCGUGUUUAACCAAAUGCCGGCUUCAUUUUGGCAGCGAGCUGUGUCAGGAGUUUAUCUUCUGGAUUUUACGAAAGCCAAACUGAAAAGCAGCCCGUAGUCAUGCACUGCUUUAGACGAUAAGACAGGAGGCGUCUGACAGCCUGGUUUUAGAAUUGGAUUUUACUCUUUGUGCUGUUCUCUACCGAACGCCAAAAUGUCAAACUAUUGCUACAUAAAGUUGAUACAAAAAUCGCAACCAUAUUUCUAAAUGUCUUGAUGGAUGCUCAAUCAUCCAGGUAAGGAAAUCCUGAAAAGCUGGACAUAGUGUUUUCCGUGGGAUACGCUACGUCCAGAAUCAACUUUUUGGGCAUAUUUCUAAAUGUUAGCUCUAAGUACUUUUCCUGUAUCAUGUCUACAAAACUUCAUUUUCACAUGAAUUUCCUAUUCCCCAUUUUCUCUACAACUUUAGACCACUGAUAGAAGGUUUUUGGUUGGAAAUGAUAUUCAUUCUGCUAUUCUUGGAUAUAGGUAAAGGGCACUCACAAUGCACUACUACACAAUUACACAAAGACAUUCUUGCAAAUACAUUUUUCAAACAACAUUCACAAUAGAACAAUAGGAGCUGUUUUCCUCCCAUUUCAAAAUCUGCUCUUGGUUUUUAGAUCAUCUGGCAGCCUGUUAGGCAACAGUACAGAUUGUAUUCAAACCUACAGUAGAUGCUGUGAGGAAAGAUCAGUAGUGCGUACACUUUUUAUUUCUCCUGCCUUCCUCCUCUGUCUUCCGCCUGCCUUUCUCUCGCUCUCUCGCUCUCUCGCUCUCUCUCUCUCUCUCUCUCUCUCUCUCUGCUCUGUUUUUAGCUGGUUGCCAAGUGCUAAGAAUCUGGGGAAUGCAGGAUUGCAAUGUCCUGAUAAAGUUUGCUUUGUUCCCCAAAGUGACCUGAGUGAGAGAGGGAGGACUAGCCAUAAGUCCACAUACACACAUAUACAGUCCACAUACAUGCAUGCUUGCACAUGAGCAGUUUGUUUUUCUCCAAAAGGACACUGGAGUGCGGAAAGCAAUAGUAACCAAAACUUACGGUAGUGUAAAGCAGGUGCGCACACACGCGCGCACACACGCGCGCACACACACACACACACACACUAUAUAUAAAUGCAGACACGGCUCGAGGCCAGUAGCAUGUACUAUUGCGUCAGCAGAAUUCAUGAAACGCUGUCUUUGUCUUGCAUUGUUAAACCAUCCAUUUACAACAGACAGAUUUCUCCUUUAAGGGUUAACAUGAUAUUUCAUUUCUUUUAACCCUAUAAUUUUCUUUGUGGUCCAGUGGAGGCAGCUUGUGUGUCACUGGUAUGACUUAAAUGACAGAAUCUGCUCAAAAUGUGAGGAACAAUCUUUGUGCUAGUGGCUAAAUUACUAUAAAAGUAAACAGGUUACAGCUUGAAGGUGUGAUAAGAAAAUAAAAAAGUUGUUAUGUACAUGCACAACGGAAAUGAUUUCCUGUUUUAUUUUUACUCAGCUAGUUAGCAGUGACCGAGCAGCAAGCUUUUAACAUCCAACAAAUCAAUGAAAACUCAGUCAGGGUUAGGGCUAAGGGGAGUGUUUGCCUUAGCUACAUGCUAAAUUAGGCGAUUUCUAGAAACUAUGAGAUUCAUAAUUUUGUCAUUACAGAAAAAUGGUCUAAAAAGACGUUAAACCAAUCAUAACCCUAUCCAUAGAUGGCUCACCAAUGAUGGUUGUCUUCCCUGCUGUAGCAUUCUCAUAGCAAGGAAAACGACAUUCACAAGGCAAAAAGAGCACUGUUUAGCUUUCUAUGGUCUUGUGCUCAGUCUUACUGAAUUGACACAAAUAUUUCUGCUUAUACGUUAUUAUCUUGUGGAAAGUCAGUAUGUACAGCAAAACCUGUAACUUCAAUCUUGGUUUAGGAAUUUAAGAAAUUUCAUUUAACCACAUUGUUAAGUAAAGUAGACAUGCUCAGUAUGCAUGUAAUGUCUCAUUCAGUGUCUGUAUGAUGUAAAUAUCAUCAUGCAUCCAUCUCCACAAGCUAAAAAAAGCUAACAAAACAUUUAAGUGUCCUCUUUUUGACAUAAUAAACAACACAGCUGUUCUUUUUGAACAUCAUGAGGUUGCUAUUGUGUUUUUUGAGUACAGUGUGAUGCUGUAGACAUUCUUCAGAUUGUGGUAUGUAUAGAAGUACAUGCAAAUCUGUAGCUGUCCACAACAACAUUAAUGACAUUAUAGAAAAUGACAGCUGGCAUGUUAUAUUUGAUUUAAGCCAACUGAGAAGUGGCAAAAACUCCAGUUCCUCUAAUGGUCAUGUGCAAAAACAAUGUCAAUCCCACAGUUCUCAAAAUGCCCAACUUUGCAAUAAUAAAACAAUAUUGUUAAUGUAGCAAACAGUGGUUCAGGUCACAUGUUUGGAUUUUUAAAGGCUUACAGUUAGGGGUGUGGUUUUGACUGACAGGUGUUCAGACAUCUAAACAUUUUGCAGCAUUUUUUUAGAAGAUGUUUGUGUCUUUGAGUUAGGGCUUCAUACCCGUACACUUUACAAAAGUAGCUUGCUAACUGAGCUUGCUAGCGUUAGCAGAUAACAAGCACACCAUGCGUUCGUCACCGAAUCCAGAGUCCAAAAGUAAUAAUUGCCCAUCUUUUAUAUACAGUCUAUAGCUCUAUAAAGAAGCCUGGUCUUUCUAACAUGCACAAGCCGCUAAAAUAGACCAAUGAUUGGUGUUAGUUAUAUGUAGUAGCAAAUGUCAAGAACUCCAAGUGACUUUACUAAAACUGGGUUAAAUGUAAAUGGUAAAGAUUGAUUUACAAUAACUUAACACUUGAGGUCUUUGUUAUUGGAGCAGAGGGAGGGAACCAUGGUGAAGCAGCAUUCCUGUCUUUAUCUCAGUGCAGGACACAUGUGAUUACAUGCACUCUUGCUCUUUCACUCUCAAUCUCUACCAGUUGCACACGCACACACACACACGGGCACAUUCAUGCUCUCAAAGCCAUGUACACUCAUUUACAUGUACUCUGCUGUCUUUCUAACUCUGUCUCUCUAUCUCUCACUCACACACACACACACACACACCACACACACACACACACACUCACACACAACGAAUGCCAUUCCAUUAUUGUAUGUAUGGAGAAAAAGUGGAGGAGAGAGGAAGAAACAGGAAGUAGGCGUUUGGGUUGGGGGAGGAGGGUCAGAGAGGGCACUAUGGGAGUCCUGCACAUUUAUUUGCGUGUGAAGAAGUAAUUAGAUUUGUGUGUGUGUGUGUGUGUUUCUGUGUGUGUGUGUGAGUAUGUGUGUGUGUGUGUGUGUGUGUGUGUGUGUGUGUGUGUGUGUGUGUGUGUGUGUGUGUGUGUACAUAUGCUGAGCUGUGGGAGUGUGUAUGGUAGCUAAACAGAAAUGCAGGGUUGUGUUUACAUGGUAAAUAGUGUGUUUGUGUGUGUAUGUGUGGGUUGGGAGUUAAGGUUGUGGAAUGUCACAUGCUGAUAGAAUGCUUACUGGACAACAAAGGCAGGGCAGCAAAACAUAGUGGAGACCAGUAAUUAUGCUGGUCUGCGCUGCUCAGCACUUGAGUCAGCAUAGAAUGAAGGCUGUAAUGUAUGAACUUUGCUGGGGAGGUCCAUCAUCAGGUGUUUUCUUUGAAAACUUAUCUUGCAUCUAUGUCACUGUCAUGGGGGUUGCUGUUAACUCUCACAAAGACUAGUUUUACAAAAAAGUGUGUAGCGAUAGGUCAGCCUAAGUUGUGGUCUUAGAUUAGAUCCGAGUUAGACAGUGUCAUGAAAAGUAAAGCCAGACUUUUCAUUUACAGCCUAAAUUUGACAGCUUCUGUUGUCAUGGAUGACUUCAGCCUCUUAGUUACAUCAUUGGUAAACUGACCAAAAUAAACUGCUUCGCAUAUGCAUACUAAAAAUCUGACAUAUAUGAAUUUAGUUGUACAGCCAGUUGGCAUUGAGUCACAGUAACAUAUAUUUUCACACCUUAUCAUCAAAUCCUCUGAUAUUGCCCUCUCCUCUUUCUCUUGUCUCCAUAUAAAAGUGGAGUGGGACCUUACCAGCUCCGGCUUUUUUCGCACAAAAUCAAAAAUGAUCUUACUUAACUUUUUGUUGGUUUGGGUGGGUAAGAUGAUGUGUUUGCGGCACUGAUCCCAGCUCGAGCACAACUUUACAUUCACCCUGAACUUGUGUGGAUGAUGGAUUAUACCCUAAACAGGGCGAGGCUGUGUGGAAGUUUGAGAUGUCAGAAAGACUGGAAGUGACACAGACACCGCUGUUGCCUUUCAGUCCAAGUUGGCAGGAGGACAAAAAGAAAUCUUCCCAGUAGAGAUGUGUACUCUUACGCUGAUAAUGUGUCCAGUCCUUUGUUUUUAAGACUCACUCCACAAUCAUGAGACUUUCAGGUGAUGACACUUGAGUGCAUAACUGUGAGGAUCAUUCUCAUUUUAUUAGUAAGGUUGAAAGGCACAUGAUGUGUGCUUUGAAUUAUUUCCAGUGCAGAUCACUCUGAUUCAAGCUUGUAUUUUUAAGUGACUGUUGAUUGGCUAACGGAAAUGUUUGUGUGUUCAUAGAUUCUUCAUCCUCUCCGGGCCGGUUGGCAGUCAGGGCUACUGUAAACAUCCUUGACUGGAAGCUGGUGUUAGUUUCUGGGGCUUUCAGUCGGAUGUUUGCAGCAGCCAACUGCUAGUACCAUCACUGCGACAGGAGUGAAAACAGCUGUAAGUAUAGUGACUGAACUGUCAUGAACAAUAUAAGGGAAAGAUCAGACAUAAAGGAGAACAUUGUCAAAGGAAGGUUAUGGUUUAAACUGAGUUUGAAAAAUGGUGCUAAAAUGAGUUCUGUGGGCAACUAAGAAAGCCAAGAGGUAAAAUGAACUAUUCUAGGGAAUAAGUGGGCCUGUAAAUGGACCACUCCUCAGAGAUGAGCUGACUCUUCUGCUUGGGAACACAGGAACAUAACUGCAUCCUAACCAAAUGAGAGGACCCUGAACCUAUAAGCUAAUGCGCAAAACGAUUUAAAGCAAAGGGGGGAAAGGCAUAGAGACUGCGACAAAACUCAAUACGGAGAAGCCAUGUGCCCCCUGUGCUAGGACAACAGGUGGUUCGUUCCAAAUUCAGUUCUUUCUGUUUCAAACAGCUCCACCUCAACUUCAUAAAAGCAGCACACAGGUGAAGACAUGAAAGUUUUUCUAAAUCAGUGACAAGACGCCAGUGAGGAUGGUGUGAGUAAUAUUAAAUAACAUUAACCAAAUGACUAAGUAUACUUUUUUUAAAAGAAACUUAAAUGGAGUAAUGAUGUUGGAAUGUUUGAAACCAUAAAACUCUGUUUAAUUAGUGCUAUGAAUGGCAGAUGAUACAGAGUUUGCUGAAAGCUAAACUGUUAUCAGUGAUUGGCUGAUUUGGGGGGAAAAAGGACCGUUUCCCCACUGUCAUGUUCCCACAUUGUUUAGGAGUGUUUUGAUUAACGGGGUUUUGGAUCCAUUUUCAGGCACUAAUGGUAUUUUCAGCUCCCUCAUUGUGUAUAUGAAUCUGUGUAAACUGUGAUCUAGACAGGUGAUCAGGUCACUCUGCCAGAGAGCAACGCACACGGUCUAAGAGGUGAAACCAUCACAGAAAUGUGUAUUGUAUGGCUGUGAAGAAAUGAAAAACAUUUCAGAAAACUUCAUACUGCUUUUUUUUUUUUUUUUUUUUUUUUUCUUUUUGUAAAGCUGUAAGGUGGUUACUAAGUAGCACGCUUAGCAAAAAUACAAAAAACUGUGCACCAGUGUGAAACGGCUGGCUUUGAUAGCUGUCUCCACUCAGGCCAUUCAAUUCCCAGUGGAUGGGAGCGGCUUCAUCCUCUCUUGAGACGAGGGCUGGGGGGAGGAAUGGGGAAGAAUGAAAGGAAGGAGUGGGGUUGAAAGGAGAAAAGCAGGGAUAGAAGGUGAGGAUGAAGAUGAGACGAGGGGUGGAAGAAGAUGUAGGAGUGGUUAAAGUUCAGAAAAUUUGACUUAAGGGUCUAAGAGUGUGGUGGGGUUUUUUUUUGUUUUGUUUUUUUCCUUCUUAAAUUUUUUUAAGAUAAACCAUGUCAUCAGAGCUGAGGGGAAAUGGGUGUAACACAGACUAGAGGGCCACAGACAGGGAAGGAAGGAAGCUUUCUAAUAUUACAAACUGCCCCCACCCCCACAUUCAUCAUACAUGAAUGAAAACAUGCUGUGCUGCUUGUCGUUUCUGUCUAAACAGUCUCAGCGUUCCUUCCUUGGUGCUGGAAAACCCAGGAAAUGGGCCUAUUCCACUCACAAAAGCCCCCCCUGCAUAAAAUAGGGUCUCACCAACGAACUUAAAGAUGACGAAGCUGCAUGUUUGUUGCUGCACAAGCUUCUGUGCUAAACUGGAGGAUAUAAUUGUAACUCUGCAGACUCACCGGUAAAGCUAUGGACUGUGUUUGCAAGUAUUAAUACUGUCAAACUGAGAGUUAAAAUAAGAGUUCAAAAUAAUUUGCUUAUGAAACGAUAUAGUUUAGUGUGCUUUACAAAGGGGGCAGGGUGCCGCAGUGGUUAGCAAGACACGUUGGCUUAAUUGGCGAGUGUAAACUGGCUGCAGGUGUGAGUUGUUUGUUAGCCCUGUGUUAACCAAACGUGCUUCACCCUGAAUGUGAUUAUGUGAACCCGUUCACAUAAUGAGUACUCAAUGUUUUGGCAUGGAUGUGAUGUUGGAAGAACAGCAAGGAUACUUCUGUUUUCUUGCCUGUUAGAAGUGUAUGUAUGGGACUGAAACACAAGGAAGCAGGAAGUGUAAGUUGGUGCUGUGAAAAGUAGUGCGUUCUGUAAAGCGUUCUGAACUACCUCACUUCUGAAUUGUGAUGUCCAUAUCAAUUUGCCUUGACAAGGGAUUUUUUUUUUUUUUUUUUUUGAGAGAAUAAAGAAUAAACACUGAUUUUAUUUUCUGUGAUUUGGAAUUUCUGUUAAUAUGGUAUUAAAAUUAAACAUUGUCCACCCUGACAUUUCCUUCUGACCUCUGAGAUCCAGGAAGUGUAAACAUCCUACACUCUCGGCAUCUGCCCUCUGGUGGCCGGGAGUGGGACUGUUUGCACUCUCCGGCUCAGGAACUCUCCAAACAGCAGAGGAAAGUUGACACUUCACAUCUAAAUCCAGACUGUAGAUUGUAUCAAAUUCAUAUGAUAAAUAUUAAUCCUGAAUGUGUUCUGAAAACUUUGAGUUUGCUGAUAUAUAAAAGUUUUUCUUUAUACGAGUCAACAGCUGAGCCAUGGACCUACUACUUGCUUUCAACAGGAGUGUUUUUGUUUUGUUUUUUUGUUUGUUUUUUCUUUUUUCUUUCUCCAUUUUAGCUUCAUAAGAACCUCAUUGGUGUUAAUUUGAACUGUCUGUACAAAUGAUGGAAGUCUGUGUAAAUAAAAGGCUAUUAAAGUUUCAACUAAAGGACUAGUGUGAUUCCUUCAACCUCAGCUGCUGUGAAUGCUUAGCAUUUGGGACAGGAAAUGGGGAGCGGCUGACUUCUGAUUGGUUGUUUUCCCUGACCCAGAGACCCUGGUCAUGCCUCUCCCACUGGGGCUGGGGGUGACUCUUCAGAGCAUGUGACCGAGUCCAGAGAGUAGAAUAGAAAAAUGAGUUUUCCAUAACUCUCUUUAGGUACCAAAACUCUUUCAGCACUAGAAGAUGAAGUGAAAGUCUACAUAAAUCACCAUGUUGUGUUUUCGGACCUAUUCAUUUUCAUUUAGAGGAAGCAUUCAGUGCAUUUUCUGUACUUAAACUUGACUGUCAAUCUACACCUGGGGGGUGGACAAUUUUACAGGAUGGUGAAGUUUUAUUAUUGUAGGUCUUUACAUUACAAUAUAAUGCGGAGAAAACCUCAAGAGUCAAACAAUGUACAAGCACGUUAGAGACAGUAGAAAUGGGGAAAACUCAUGACAGAAAGAAACCUCCAGUAGAACCAGGCUGAGGGAGGGGUCUGUCACGACCAGUUGGGAGUGAUGGCAGGAAGAGAGCCAGAGGUUAAUAACAAACUCCCCUACCUAUAUGCUUUACCAAAAAAGAACAUUUUAAACUUGGACACCUACUUUUAGGAUUGUUUCAGGAAUCCAAACUGGGAGCUGCUUCCAUAGAAGAGGGCUGUGUAAGCUGAAGGCUCUGCCUCCUAUUCUACUUUAAAGUACUCUAGGUUCAACAAGUAAACCUGCAGUCAGAGAGCAAAGUGCUCUAUUAGGGUGAGAAGGAUUUUAAAUUUGAUUCUGGAACAGGAAGCCAAUUAUGCUCUCUAACUCCUGUCAGGACCGUUAAUGCAGUGCUUUCUUACUUUGCAGUGACCAGUACUCCGGUUUUAGCACAAGUAAUAUGAAAACUUUUUCUAAAUGUAUUUUU